CACCUCCUUAGAGUUUGGAUCCUGGCUCAGAUUGAACGCUGGCGGCAGGCCUAACACAUGCAAGUCGAGCGGAAACGAGUUGUCUGAACCUUCGGGGAACGACAACGGCGUCGAGCGGCGGACGGGUGAGUAAUGCCUGGGAAAUUGCCCUGAUGUGGGGGAUAACCAUUGGAAACGAUGGCUAAUACCGCAUAACAGCUUCGGCUCAAAGAGGGGGACCUUCGGGCCUCUCGCGUCAGGAUAUGCCCAGGUGGGAUUAGCUAGUUGGUGAGGUAAAGGCUCACCAAGGCGACGAUCCCUAGCUGGUCUGAGAGGAUGAUCAGCCACACUGGAACUGAGACACGGUCCAGACUCCUACGGGAGGCAGCAGUGGGGAAUAUUGCACAAUGGGCGCAAGCCUGAUGCAGCCAUGCCGCGUGUGUGAAGAAGGCCUUCGGGUUGUAAAGCACUUUCAGCAGUGAGGAAGGGUGUGUAUUUAAUAGAUGCACAUUUGACGUAG
rnacentral:rRNA from 2 species